rnacentral:lncRNA from 1 species
AUGAAAGACUGUAUAUGCUUCCACCGACACAUUAACACUAAUUUGGAAUUAUCCCAAGCAUUUAUUUCACCCAUCAGGAACCUCCUUUAUUUACAACAACAGUUACAAUUCACUUGUUAUCUAGUUCUUUCCUCUUUUUUUUUUUUUUUUUUUUUUUGCAGACACCUCCCUUUGAACCUCCAGCCUCCCUUCAAACCAUCUGGGAGGAGACAGUUCCCCACAGACUGGCUGGGAUGCCACUGACCUCCCAGCACAGAGCACAUGCAACACUCAGAGGGAUGAGGCAUUUUUUCUGGGCUACCUCUAAGGGAAAACCACUGUGAAAAAAAAAAAAAAAGAAUAGUUAAGUGGUGUUCCCCUGUUCAAGGAAAGCAUCCCGUCUACCCUGGCACAUUUGCCAUAAUCAGCAUUAUCAGAUGCACCAAUACUGCCCUACUGCUUGAGAGCUCUGCUUGCCCUCCUUUUACAUGCUCUCAGGGGAUGAAGGGGAACCCUUCACGGGUGCUAUAAUUGCAGCUCCCCCCGAUCCCUCUCCUAUGGCAUUGAUGAGGCUGGCAUCGUGUAUGCACACACUGGCAGAGACACAGGAGAGGUACAACAGUAAGGGGUCCUGCUACCAAAGCAGAAGGACCCUGAAGAUGCUUGAGCCCAUGCUGCCAUGGGGAUGUGAGGGAAAGCUAUGAAGGAUCUUAAAGAAUGAAGGAGGGAAAACUGGCGGACAGUAAAGAAAGAGCAAAGAAAGCAUUGAAAACCCACGAGUAGACUGAAUAAUGAGGAGCCAAAUAUUAUGGAAGGACAGAGGAAGGCAAGAACAGAUUAUAUAAAUACAGCUAAAAGAUAGAAAGGAGAUCAUAUUAAUUAAAUAUAUAUAUAUUUAAUAAUGAAAAAAAAAAGAGAGAGAGAGAGAGAAAGAGAGAGAAAUGCCAGCAACUCUCAGUGAAAAAAGGUCUAAGGUGUGGUGAUUUUAGACAAUAGAAGAACUCACACAAAGUUGAUAGUUGUAUCCAUAGGCAGAGUAAAUCAGUUUUUGAUGAGGACUUUGUCUUUAUAUCACACCUACCCAGGCAAUGCCACACACUGCUUUUGCAAUUAUAUGUCUUUGAGAUCUCCUUAUCAUACAAGUUUCCCAAGGAAGGGACAUGCAUACACCAAAUGCAGCAUCCACCUAUUACAAUAAAGUUACACAACUAAAACUGUCGCCUGAGCA